rnacentral:rRNA from 1 species
GAAGGUGUGCUGUGAGGCAUGCUGGAGGUAUCAGAAGUGCGAAUGCUGACAUAAGUAACGAUAAAGCGGGUGAAAAGCCCGCUCGCCGGAAGACCAAGGGUUCCUGUCCAACGUUAAUCGGGGCAGGGUGAGUCGACCCCUAAGGCGAGGCCGAAAGGCGUAGUCGAUGGGAAACAGGUUAAUAUUCCUGUACUUGGUGUUACUGCGAAGGGGGGACGGAGAAGGCUAUGUUGGCCGGGCGACGGUUGUCCCGGUUUAAGCGUGUAGGCUGGUUUUCCAGGCAAAUCCGGAAAAUCAAGGCUGAGGCGUGAUGACGAGGUACUACGGUGCUGAAGCAACAAAUGCCCUGCUUCCAGGAAAAGCCUCUAAGCAUCAGGUAACAUCAAAUCGUACCCCAAACCGACACAGGUGGUCAGGUAGAGAAUACCAAGGCGCUUGAGAGAACUCGGGUGAAGGAACUAGGCAAAAUGGUGCCGUAACUUCGGGAGAAGGCACGCUGAUAUGUAGGUGAAGUCCCUUGCGGAUGGAGCUGAAAUCAGUCGAAGAUACCAGCUGGCUGCAACUGUUUAUUAAAAACACAGCACUGUGCAAACACGAAAGUGGACGUAUACGGUGUGACGCCUGCCCGGUGCCGGAAGGUUAAUUGAUGGGGUUAGCGGUAACGCGAAGCUCUUGAUCGAAGCCCCGGUAAACGGCGGCCGUAACUAUAACGGUCCUAAGGUAGCGAAAUUCCUUGUCGGGUAAGUUCCGACCUGCACGAAUGGCGUAAUGAUGGCCAGGCUGUCUCCACCCGAGACUCAGUGAAAUUGAACUCGCUGUGAAGAUGCAGUGUACCCGCGGCAAGACGGAAAGACCCCGUGAACCUUUACUAUAGCUUGACACUGAACAUUGAGCCUUGAUGUGUAGGAUAGGUGGGAGGCUUUGAAGUGUGGACGCCAGUCUGCAUGGAGCCGACCUUGAAAUACCACCCUUUAAUGUUUGAUGUUCUAACGUUGACCCGUGAUCCGGGUUGCGGACAGUGUCUGGUGGGUAGUUUGACUGGGGCGGUCUCCUCCUAAAGAGUAACGGAGGAGCACGAAGGUUGGCUAAUCCUGGUCGGACAUCAGGAGGUUAGUGCAAUGGCAUAAGCCAGCUUGACUGCGAGCGUGACGGCGCGAGCAGGUGCGAAAGCAGGUCAUAGUGAUCCGGUGGUUCUGAAUGGAAGGGCCAUCGCUCAACGGAUAAAAGGUACUCCGGGGAUAACAGGCUGAUACCGCCCAAGAGUUCAUAUCGACGGCGGUGUUUGGCACCUCGAUGUCGGCUCAUCACAUCCUGGGGCUGAAGUAGGUCCCAAGGGUAUGGCUGUUCGCCAUUUAAAGUGGUACGCGAGCUGGGUUUAGAACGUCGUGAGACAGUUCGGUCCCUAUCUGCCGUGGGCGCUGGAGAACUGAGGGGGGCUGCUCCUAGUACGAGAGGACCGGAGUGGACGCAUCACUGGUGUUCGGGUUGUCAUGCCAAUGGCACUGCCCGGUAGCUAAAUGCGGAAGAGAUAAGUGCUGAAAGCAUCUAAGCACGAAACUUGCC